rnacentral:lncRNA from 1 species
UGUGUGGUUCUGCCAUAUGACUUUUACAAAAGAAAUUUUUCGAUUGUGGAGUAAUCUGUUCUUUCAAUCCAUAAUGCUGACCGAUACUUCCUCGUAGAAUAGAUCCUCCUAUAGUGGAAGAGGCUCACGGGCCAAGAUAUGAGAGGAGUCCGGGUUAUACUUGCGUAACAUGGACACAUAAAACACAUUGUGGACCUUGAAAAGUUCUGGAGGUAGUGCUAGUCUGUAGGCGGCGGUAC